GUAGGGGGAUUACCGGCUGGAGGGCACAGUCGGUGAGGGGCAGUGGGCUCGGACGGGGAGGAGCAAUGGCUGAGACAAUAGACACGAACAGAGAACAAGGAGUGUUAUUUUAAAAAGGGCCCCAGACAGUCCUUCCAGAUGCUGCCUGGCUUGCUGCAUUCCACCGGCAUUUUGUUUGGUUGGACACAGAGAGACACCGAAUCAAGCAAGAGCCCUGUUCCCUGUUAAUUCUGGCUACCACCUCCAUCACCACAUCCACCUGAGCCAGCUGGCCCCUCCCUGUAACAAGUCCCUUGGCCUCUGCCUGCCUCUGCACAAACUCAGCACUCCCCCCUCAUGGCUUUUCUUUGGCUUACAGAUCCAAAACUGUGAACCAACCUUGGACUGUGCCUUUAGAACACAAAUCUACCCUUACCGAGGCACACCUCAUCACACUAUGUUUGCUAACCAUCUGUGUGUUGGAUUCCACCAAAGCUCAAGUCAUGCUUAUUUGAAAGAAAGAACUUGCAUUCAUAUAGCACCAUUCAAGAUCAGCAGCUGCAGGACUUCAUGGCCAAUGAGACAAGAUGAUAGCACUGUUAUUAUCAUUUGUAAUGUA